UGCCAGCCGCCGCGGUAACACGGGGGGCGCAAGCGUUAUUCGGAAUUAUUGGGCGUAAAGGGCGCGCAGGCGGUCUUGUCCGUCGGGUGUGAAAGCCCCGGGCUCAACCUGGGAAUUGCGUUUAAUACUGGUGAGCUAGAGUACGAGAGAGGAAAGUGGAAUUCCUAGUGUAGAGGUGAAAUUCGUAGAUAUUAGGAAGAGCACCAGUGGCGAAGGCGACUUUCUGGCUCGUAACUGACGCUGAGGCACGAAAGCGUGGGGAGCAAACAGGAUUAGAUA
rnacentral:rRNA from 1 species